CGUAGGGUGCGAGCGUUAAUCGGAAUUACUGGGCGUAAAGCGUGCGCAGGCGGUUUUGUAAGACAGAUGUGAGAUCCCCCGGGCUCAACCUGGGACCUGCAUUUGUGACUGCAAGGCUAGAGUACGGUAGAGGGGGAUGGAAUUCCGCGUGUAGCAGUGAAAUGCGUAGAUAUGCGGAGGAACACCGAUGGCGAAGGCAAUCCCCUGGACCUGUACUGACGCUCAUGCACGAAAGCGUGGGGAGCAAACAGGAUUAGAUACCCUGGUAGUCCACGCCCUAAACGAUGUCAACUGGUUGUUGGGUCUUUACUGACUCAGUAACGAAGCUAACGCGUGAAGUUGACCGCCUGGGGGAGUACGGCCGCAAGGUUG
rnacentral:rRNA from 1 species